rnacentral:misc_RNA from 1 species
AGUCACGUUAGAUGACGCAUGCACUAUCGCAACGAUGAGAGUCUCGUCAGCACUCACUGAUAGCAUGAGUCAAUGCAUGCGUAGCGGAGGCACGUAUCGGUCAGACGGUAUCGAUGCAGCGUACCGAUACUGGUCCCGCGACGCGUCGUCAGUCAGUGAUCCAGGUCACCUCGACUGCAUCGAACUGCACAGUCAGAUGACGAGUCGAUUCAGUUACAGUACUGGUAGUCUCGCGGAUACCGUUGCGCGCGUUCAUGACAACAUGUCGUCAGUGGAAGCUCGGUACAACAUGGAUAGUACCUGUAGUCACGCGUCAGCAGUCGAUUUAGAGGUGUGUCCUUGAGCGUGGCUCAGGAGCUAACGCGCUAAAUCGACUGCUUGGGGAGUACGGCCGCAAGGUUAAACUCAAAUGAAUUGACGGGGGCCCGCACAAGCGGUGGAGCAUGUGGUUUCAUUGGUGCAAUGCGAAGAACCUUACCUGUCCUUGACAUUUCCGAAUCUCCAAACACGGGGAAUUGCCCUUCCCGUAUCCAAGCCCCGGUCCUGCAAGGUUUUAUUCCAGUUCCCUGUUUAAACCUGGGGUUUUGCCCUCCAACGAGCCCAACCCCUUUCCUUUGUUUCCAGCCCGUAAGUUCGGGAAAUCAAGGGAGACUGCCGGUGAUAAACGGGAGGAAGGUGGGGAUGACGUCAAGUCAUCAUGGCCCUUACGGCCAGGGCUACACACGUGCUACAAUGGCGCGUACAAAGGGAAGCGACCUCGCGAGAGCGAGCGAGAUCCUCAAUAAAGCUGUCGUCGUAGUCCGGAUGGAGUCUGCACUCAUGCAGAUGC